rnacentral:pre_miRNA from 1 species
UCUUCAUUAUUCACACUCUCUCAACGGCCAGGGAGGCGAGAGAGUGUGCGACAUGAAGAGA